GAAGAUGACGUCAGAGCAGGAGGGGAGUCAUUUACCACGUCAGCUUGCUGAAACGAAACUCAACAAGCAAACUUGGAAACGACGAGUUGGAUUGAGUUUUUUGCACAGCUGCUUUUAAAUCUUUCAACUUUACAGACCAUGCAGUCCACUGAGUUGAAUUAUAUUUGUUCAAUUGUGAUACGAAGCUGUGAAACACAAACCGGAGACCUUUGUACAGCUGCUUUUAGAACCUGCUACUAAAGAUAUGGGAUAUCUGAGAAGUCUGCUCUCGGAGGACUUCCAACGUUCUGUCUGUCUGGAUGUGUUCCAUGAGCCAGUCUCAACACCCUGUCAACACACCAUCAUCAAUGCAUGUGACAUUUUACAGUGUCCAUUUUGCAGACUGAUAGUAUCUUGCAUUGUCCUUUUGUUUGUUUUUGUUUUUGUUUGUUUGGUUUGUUACUUCAUAUUGAUAUGUUGGUUUGAAUACCAA